UUGAAAGGGAAACGAUUGAAGUCAGUCGUACCAGCGGGAAAUCAACCUUUCGAGUGUGGGUUUUGGAGUUUUGAAGAGUUUCAAAACCUUUGAGAUUUCAAAAAUUUCGCUCUUUUGGUGUACUUUCUCGUGGGUAGGUUAACAUCGAUUUUGAUCAUCAUAAAAAGAUUGGAGGAAUGUAGCUUCGAUCUUGUAUUGAAGUGUUAUAGCCUUUGGUAAAUGUGAUGAUUAGGAUCGAGGAUUGCAACGAAUACCCUUCUGGGCUAUCCGCCUGAUCUCUGAUACGUGGCCUUGGCAUCGAAAGCUUGCUUAUGGUAUCAAGGUAUUACGGUCAAAAGGUUAGAACGGAUUACAUUCGUUAAGGAUGUUGACGUA
rnacentral:rRNA from 1 species